ACGAACGCUGGCGGCGUGCUUAACACAUGCAAGUCGAACGGUGAAACGCCUUCCUUUUUGGUGGGUGUGGAUGAGUGGCGAACGGGUGAGUAACACGUGAGUAACCUGCCCCCUUCUUCUGGAUAACCGCAUGAAAGUGUGGCUAAUACGGGAUAUUCUGGGUCUGUCGCAUGAUGGGUCUGGGAAAGAUAUUGUUUCGGUGGGGGAUGGGCUCGCGGCCUAUCAGCUUGUUGGUGGGGUGAUGGCCUACCAAGGCGGUGACGGGUAGCCGGCCUGAGAGGGUGGACGGUCACACUGGGACUGAGACACGGCCCAGACUCCUACGGGAGGCAGCAGUGGGGAAUAUUGCACAAUGGGCGCAAGCCUGAUGCAGCGACGCCGCGUGAGGGAUGGAGGCCUUCGGGUUGUGAACCUCUUUCGCCAGUGAAGCAGGCCUGCCUCGUUUGUGGGUGGGUUGACGGGAGCUGGAGAAGAAGCGCCGGCUAACUACGUG
rnacentral:rRNA from 1 species